UGCAAUCACUACUGUAAGUCACUCUGGAUAAGAGCGUCUGCUAAAUGACUAAAA
rfam:Salmo salar isolate Sally breed double haploid chromosome ssa19, whole genome shotgun sequence.